rnacentral:rRNA from 1 species
GACGAACGCUGGCGGCGCGCCUAACACAUGCAAGUCGAACGGAGUUACAUUGAAGGCUUGCUGGAUAUGUAACUUAGUGGCGGACGGGUGAGUAACACGUGAGUAAUCUGCCUUCCAGAGGGGAAUAACGUUUGGAAACGAACGCUAAUACCGCAUAACAUACGGAUGUCGCAUGGCAACCGUAUCAAAGAUUAUAUCGCUUGAAGAUGGACUCGCGUCCGAUUAGCCAGUUGGCGGGGUAACGGCCCACCAAAGCGACGAUCGGUAGCCGGACUGAGAGGUUGAACGGCCACAUUGGGACUGAGACACGGCCCAG